rnacentral:rRNA from 1 species
CGUGUAGGCGGUCCGGUAAGUCGGCUGUGAAAGUCCAGGGCUCAACCCUGGGAUGCCGGUCGAUACUGCCGGACUAGAGUUCGGAAGAGGCGAGUGGAAUUCCCGGUGUAGCGGUGAAAUGCGCAGAUAUCGGGAGGAACACCUAUGGCGAAGGCAGCUCGCUGGGACGUUACUGACGCUGAGACGCGAAAGCGUGGGAGCAAACA